AAAUAAUUUGAAAUAUAUGAAUAUACAUGUUCUCCAGUGACUGGUAAGUCUCUUAACUACCAAAAUUAGAUCAAAAACUCUUAGUAACCUCCGUUUAUACUUCCACAAUAAUCACCAGCUAUUUCAAGAAUGUUCUUCAAGUCAUGAGUCCAUAAGAUUUUUAAAUGAUUUCAUAUUUUUGGAUACAUUUUUACAUUUAUUUUUAUUUCUACCUUGAUUAGAAAUUUGCACAAAAAUAAACAACAAGCCGACACUCAUAGGUAUUUGGCGACAUUUUCUGCAUAUUUAUUUUUUAAAAUAAUUUUGACUGUACAAUUGAUUGUGUAUGCUUAUGUUUGGCUAUGCAUUACCAGCAAGACAAAGCUGAAUUUGUGCCGGUUGCUUAAAUGGCUAAUGAGGAAUGGACAUCAAUCUAUAAAAAGCAGCAUGUAGAAAGCUGCUGUGACAGAACUUAACCCCUUAAGGACACAUGACAUGUGUGACAUGUCAUGAUUCCCUUUUAUUCCAAAAGUUUGGUCCUUAAGGGGUUAAUUACAUCGGACCUUUAAACAAUGAAUCACACCUUCCAUGUAGGUUGAACUCACAUUAACCAGAAAUCCUGACUCGGAGUUUGCAGCUGAUGUAGUCUAGUCUAUUAGAAUUGUGCACAAAUCUGUUUAAGCUUCAUUGAAUUAACCCAAAUCCCAUUAAUUUCUGCCCAAAUGAAUUGAUGUGUCCAGGAUUUGGCUCUAGGCGUGGAUAAACAGGAAUUUGAUCAGUUCGAUGCAGCUGAAAUGGAUUUUGAAGCCCAGUGUCUAUCAGUGGGAUAAUGAGCUUUGUCUGGUGCCAACUCUCUCUCUCUAUACCUGCAAACCCAGAGAUGGAAUUUUGGAUUUAGUUCAUUUGAGUUUGAACAAGACAAGAGUUGUGAUUUAUUGUUUAAAUCCAUCACACUUGCACAAUGUUUGGUUUAUUUAUUUUACAGAUUUGCAGAUAUAGGAAAGUUGUUACAAGUUAGCAGCUCUACGCAAGCUUUGCUUUUGGUCCUUUUGCCUACAAUAAGUAUGCACAACAUAUUUCAUUGGGGCAACUUUAGAAUUUUUAUUUUUUAUAUAAAAUAUGUAUAUUUGUUCCAACCUGAAGUCCACCAGUUUUGCUGUGAGUACAUACAUUCCUGCAAACUAGCAGUGUCACACAAUUACAGCAUUUGGACCAUGAACAGUGAAAAUGGGAGUCAUGUCUAGGUUGGUCUUUUUUUUUUUUGUCAGGCAUAAAAGAUGGAUGGUUAGUUUAAUGAUUGGAUAGUUGGAUAGUUGGGAGACUGGGUACUUGGAUAGAUGGAUUGUUGGAUAGUUUGAUGACUGGAUAGUUGGAUGACUGCAUAGUGGAUAGAUGGGUGGUUGGAUAGAUGGAUAGUUGGAUAGAUGGGUGGUUGGAGAGAUGGAUGGUCCGAUAAUUGGAUAGAUGGAUUGUUGGAUAGUUUGAUGACUGGAUAGAUGGAUGGUCAGAUAGAUGGAUGGUCGGAUUGUUGGGUGACUGGAUAGUUGGAUGACUGGAUAGUUGGAUGACUGGGUAGUUGGAUAGAUGGAUGGUUGGAUAGUAGGAUGAAUGGAUAGUUGGAUAGAUGGGUGGUUGGAUAGUUGGAUAGAUGGAUUGUUGAAUAGUUUGAUGACUGGAUAGAUGGAUGGUCGGAUAGAUGGAUGGUCGGAUAGUUGGGUGACUGGAUAGUUGGAUAGAUGGGUGGUUGGAGAGAUGGAUGUUGGAUAGUAGGAUGACUGGAUAGUUGGAUAGUUGGAUAGAUGGAUUGUUGGAUAGUUUUAUGACUGGAUAGAUGGAUGGUCGGAUAGCUGGAUGGUCGGAUUGUUGGGUGACUGGAUAGUUGGAUGACUGGAUAGUUGGAUAGAUGGGUGGUUGGAUAGUUGGAUGACUGUAUACUUGGAUGACAUGAUAGUUGGAUAGAUGGAUGGUUGGAUAGAUGGGUGGUUGGAGAGAUGGAUGACUGGAUAGUUGGAUAGAUGGAUUGUUGGAUAGUUGUAUGAAUGGAUAGAUGGGUGGUUGGAUAGAUGGGUGGUCGGAUAGUUGGAUAGAUGGAUUGUUGGAUAGUUGGAUAGUUGGAUGGUUGGAUAGUUGGAUGACUGGACAGAUGGAUGGUUGGAUAGUUGUAUGAAUGGAUAGAUGGGUGGUUGGAUAGAUGGAUGGUCGGAUAGUUGGAUAGAUGGAUUGUUGGAUAGAUGGAUGGUUGGAUAGUUGGAUGACUGGAUAGAUGGAUGGUUGGAUAGAUGGAUGGAAACACAUUUGGAAAAUGAAAGGUUUGAUUAUCAGUAUAUCAAUAUAUAUAUUUUUGCUCCAGAUUGUCAGAAACAUGACAUUGAACACAUUGACAUUGAACAUGACUGUUCAAUGUAAUAUUGACACACCAGGCUUUCAGAACCACACAACUCUAAGGGAAGUUCUAAUCAUGGGAUUUGAGACCCUUCACAGCUUCAAGCUUGUUUUAUUUGCUGUUUUUUUUACUACCUAUAUAUUGACUUUAUCCGGGAACCUCAUC